GCCUGGGUGGCGCAGUCGGUUAAGCGUCCGACUUCGGUUCAGGUCAUGAUCUCGCGGUCCGUGGGUUCGAGCCCCACUUCGGGCU
rnacentral:tRNA from 1 species